GACGAACGCUGGCGGCGUGCUUAACACAUGCAAGUCGAGCGAGCAGCGAACGGGUGAGUAACGCGUGAGUAACCUGCCCCCCUCUCUGGGAUAACAGUUGGAAACGGCUGCUAAUACCGGAUAGUGUUGUAUGGGCCCGCGGGCUAUCAGCUGGUUGGUGGGGUAAUGGCCUACCAAGGCGGCGACGGGUAGCCGGCCUGAGAGGGUGGCCGGCCACAUUGGGACUGAGACACGGCCCAGACUCCUACGGGAGGCAGCAGUGGGGAAUAUUGCACAAUGGGCGGAAGCCUGAUGCAGCGACGCCGCGUGGGGGAUGAAGGUCUCGGAUUGUAAAGCACUUUAAGUUGGGAGGCGUUACCAACAGAAUAAGCACCGGCUAACUUCGUGCCAGCAGCCGCGGUAAUUC
rnacentral:rRNA from 1 species